AAAUGAUUUGAAUUUUUUGAAAUUGAUAGAGGUGUUAGUGAAGUGAAGUGAAAAUGGUUGAUGGUUUGACUUGAGAAAAAUGGCUCGACAUUGGAUCGAGCCGCUUAUUAUUUCCUUUUUUUUUAAAUGGUUGAUUUUAUUUGUUUUUGUUUAUUAUCUAAUUAAUUAUUUUAUUCUAACUAAUGGAAAAUAAAGCAAUAAAUAUAAUUAAACAAAUUACAAACAAAAGGUGGGGAUACCUUUGACAAUUGAGGAAUAAAGAAAAUAAUAAUAAUAAUAAUAGCGAAUAAUAUUAAAACUGAAAAUAAACAUAAAACAAUAAC
rnacentral:lncRNA from 1 species